ACCAGACUCCUACGGGAGGCAGCAGUGGGGGAUAUUGCACAAUGGGGGGAACCCUGAUGCAGCGACGCCGCGUGAGUGAAGAAGUAUUUCGGUAUGUAAAGCUCUAUCAGCAGGGAAGAAAAUGACGGUACCUGACUAAGAAGCCCCGGCUAACUACGUGCCAGCAGCCGCGGUAAUACGUAGGGGGCAAGCGUUAUCCGGAUUUACUGGGUGUAAAGGGAGCGUAGACGGCGGUGCAAGCCAGAUGUGAAAGCCCGGGGCUCAACCCCGGGACUGCAUUUGGAACUGUGCUGCUAGAGUGUCGGAGAGACAGGCGGAAUUCCUAGUGUAGCGGUGAAAUGCGUAGAUAUCAGGAGGAACACCAGUUGCGAAGGCGGCUCUCUGGACUGUAACUGACACUGAGGCACGAAAGCGUGGGGAGCAAACAGGAUUAGAUACCCGAGUAA
rnacentral:rRNA from 1 species